UUCUCAACACCAAAAAGAACUCAUUCAUUAAAAAUUACAACCUAGACAACCCUAAACCCUUCUUUUUCUUCUUCCAACCUCCUCCAGAUUGCAACUCCCUUCGUCGACUCCGGCCACUCUCGUUGUGUUGUCUUGUUCGCUAUCUCACUGCGCCAUUCUUGCUACGCCGCGUUUCAAUCGACAAUUGCUCCGCCGCGUGGAAUCCUACACGUUCCUCCCACUGCGUCCAAACCACUAGUAUAUCUCUUCAUCCUUUCUCAAACCUCUUUCUCUCUACUAUCUUCAACAAACCCUAAUCCCCAAAAACCCUGAAUUCAAUUUCGAACAACCCUAAAUUCAUCUCUCUCGUUUCACUUCGCGAUUUGCAAUAGCAAGUAAAUUCUAUUCUCUUUCCAAAUCAUUUCAGUUUGCGAUUUCAUUAUUUAUUUUGGUAAUCUUGCUUGUUAAGUGUCAUUAAUUCACGAUUUGCUGAAUGAGGUUGUCGGUUUGCGAUUUGUUCUGUUUUUGAGCUGAUAUGAGUGCUAAUCUAAAAUAUCAAUUUACACUGACUUUGGUAUCCACCAUAUAAAGAAAUGUAGUAAUUCAUCCUUUCAGAAAAGGAAGAGGUAAGCACUCACUAACUGAUUACCGUGCAGAAAAAGAGUCAAAUAGAGAAUGAGUAAUCACUUGACACCUUUUUCUUGCUAAAACAAUCAUGGUCGACCAUGCCAAUAGAUAUAGCAAAAUCUCAAGCCAUGAUUGCCGCUGAAGCCAUCCCCAUCUUGCAGAUGCUCACGAAAACCUGCCCACCAAGUUUCCAUGAGAGGGCGAAUACUCUUCUGCACUACUCACCAGGUUGUUUGACUGUCACCAUUAAACGUGGAAACAACCUCAAGCAAACAAUGGGAAGCACUAAUGCAUUCUGCCAGUUGACCAUAGGCAAUAGCCCUCUAAAACAAACCAAGGUAGUGAACCAUAGUACUUCUCCGGAAUGGAAAGAAGGAUUCACAUGGGCAUUUGAUAUACCUCCCAAGGGCCAAAAGCUCCAUAUGGUAUGCAAAAGCAAGAAUACUUUUGGGAAGGGCUGCAGAACACUCUCAUUUGAGCAUCCCAUAAACUGAAUUUUGGAAGAAAGGAAAGCAAUACUAUCAACUUCUGCAAAACUCUCUUAUUUUUGCUUCAGCUUUAUAUGUUGAAUUUACAGUUGGGACCGCAAAGACAUUUGUUGGUUUGGCAGCAUGUCGUGCAUAUGCAGUGAAGAACUCUUCUGCCUAGUCAUCAAACAACUUAAAUUAUGCCAUCUCUUGAGUUGUAGAUGUCCAAUUGGAGUCAACCCAAGUGCACAUGAAAGCUAAGCUCCAGAGCUACAACGUUCAUGAAGACAUCGGAACCAAAUUCAGACUCAAAAGAGGCGAAAUAUGCAAUAUAUGUCGGACAACAGAUGUUGUGCGCCUGAAGCGCGCCAGACGCGCCUGAGGCGCGUUUCCAGCCUUCCAACCAUGAAAACGCAAUUUUUCACUGUUUUAGGGAUCUUUUUGACUCUUGGGAAGUUGGGAGACUUGUGCCCUAGCAUAGAAACUCAAAGACGGUCGUUUCUAACAUCAUUGAAGCAGUUUUAUCAA